rnacentral:rRNA from 1 species
UACAGAGGGUGCGAGCGUUAAUCGGAAUUACUGGGCGUAAAGCGUGCGUAGACGGUAGCGUAAGUCAGAUGUGAAAGCCCCGGGCUCAACCUGGGAAUUGCAUUUGAGACUGCUCUGCUCGGGUGCGGAAGAGGGAAGCGGAAUUUCCGGUGUAGCGGUGAAAUGCGUAGAUAUCAGGAGGAACACCGGCGGUGUAGACGGCUUACUGGACCAUAACUGACGCUGAGGCACGAAAGUGUGGGGAGCAAACAGG